CCAGGGCAGAGCUCUGAGAGGCUCCAUCAUGCCCCGCAACCCCGUCCUGCUCCUCCUGCUCACGCUCUGCACAGGCUACGUGAUCCCCUUCGAGCUGAUCCAGAGACCCUCAGUCUCAGUAGUUCCGGGUCAGGCAGCCACAAUCACCUGCUCUGGAGAAUUACUUAACGAGAGAUAUACAGAGUGGUACCAACAGAAGCCCGGCCAGCGCCCUGUGCUCAUUAUUUAUAAGGACAGUGAGAGGCCCUCGGGGAUCCCUGACCGAUUUUCUGGCUCAAGCUCCGGGACCACAACCACCCUGACCAUCAGCAACACCCAGGCUGAGGAUGAGGCUGACUAUUACUGUUUGUCCUCAGACAGCAGUGGUAUUAACCCACAGUGUCACAGGAGAUUCACAGGUGAUGAAGGUGGAGGAUUUAGUUCACUGAAAGAUCUUGAACCUACAAGAGAAAAAAGGAGAGGCUACUUGACCUCCUACAAGCUGACCCAGACACUCUCAGCCUCAGUAGAUCAGGCCACCCUGACCAUCAGCAGGACCCAGGAUGAGGAUAAGGCUGUUUCUGUCAGUCAUGGGACAGUAGCAGUAAUUACCCGCCUAGUGUCACAGGAGGCGGGGAAGUAA